rnacentral:lncRNA from 1 species
UUAUUUACUAAAUAGUGGAGAGAAAGUAAGAGAGUGACAGCUUGGAUGCCUCUUCUACAAUGAUGUGUCUUCGACACGUAAGUGUGUGAGUGCCAGCCCCGGCUGUUCCCUUCAUCCUCUGCUGUUCUUGGGUGACGAACUUCCCCAGGGCAGGCCUCACUCCUGCCAUUCCUGCAGGAUCCUCUGCCGCUCCCACGGCCUGUCUGACAUGGACUGAGGGGUCCUCAGACCCCUUAGGUCUCUGCACAUCUCACCUGCUGCGCCUGUGGGCCUCUGAACCCCAGCAUCAGAGCUACCCGAGCACCCUCUUUCCCCAAGGCAAGCUAACCAGACUGUCCCAGGGAGCAGUGAGGGGGACCGAGAAGUGGGCAGCCAAGACAGCCUCCCAUGCAGGGAGCCCACCGAGGCCCAGCUCCGACCUGGAGCCGCGUCCUCUUUCAGCAGGCUGGGAGCGAUUACCAUCUGUCCAUCAGCAGCUUCAAGGAGCCAGUGAUGACCUGGGCCAUUCAGGGAGCCAGCCUGGGGGAAGGGGUUCCCGCUUUGAUGUGCUCAGCGAGGUCAGAGAGCAAGCAGGGGGGAGGCCCACGGGGAGAGCGGCUGGCACUGUCUCCUCUCCCAUCCAGGUUUCCGGGAAGACGCCAGCUUGUCCUCAUCACCUCUUUCAUCUCUCCGUUCUCUGGGGCUGGUUCUUGUCCUCUCGGGCCUCCCUGCCGCCCAGGUGGACAGCCUUGGGCCCCUCAUCCCAGACCUCCAGCCUGUGUUCCGAGGAGCUUGUGGUGGCCAGACCCAUCCACCCACUUUCUCUGUAGUUGGCUUUAAGGGGCAUGUGGUCAUCACUUCAUGCAUGCAACACCACUCUGAGGGUCAAGCGAGAAUCUCCCCCUUGGAAUCAGGGGCUCCCCAUGCUGGAAGGGGACUCAGGCUGUGGGCAUCACCCCCAUGGUGGGAUGCUCCAACUCCGUUGCUAACAGACAGCUGCCAAGCCUGGUCUCACUCACUCACAGCUGCCAGGGACUCACUGGCCACUGAAGGUGCCACCUUCAUGG